rnacentral:rRNA from 1 species
AUGCUGGAGGUAUCAGAAGUGCGAAUGCUGACAUAAGUAACGAUAAAGCGGGUGAAAAGCCCGCUCGCCGGAAGACCAAGGGUUCCUGUCCAACGUUAAUCGGGGCAGGGUGAGUCGACCCCUAAGGCGAGGCCGAAAGGCGUAGUCGAUGGGAAACAGGUUAAUAUUCCUGUACUUGGUGUUACUGCGAAGGGGGGACGGAGAAGGCUAUGUUGGCCGGGCGACGGUUGUCCCGGUUUAAGCGUGUAGGCUGGUUUUCCAGGCAAAUCCGGAAAAUCAAGGCUGAGGCGUGAUGACGAGGCACUACGGUGCUGAAGCAACAAAUGCCCUGCUUCCAGGAAAAGCCUCUAAGCAUCAGGUAACAUCAAAUCGUACCCCAAACCGACACAGGUGGUCAGGUAGAGAAUACCAAGGCGCUUGAGAGAACUCGGGUGAAGGAACUAGGCAAAAUGGUGCCGUAACUUCGGGAGAAGGCACGCUGAUAUGUAGGUGAAGCGACUUGCUCGUGGAGCUGAAAUCAGUCGAAGAUACCAGCUGGCUGCAACUGUUUAUUAAAAACACAGCACUGUGCAAACACGAAAGUGGACGUAUACGGUGUGACGCCUGCCCGGUGCCGGAAGGUUAAUUGAUGGGGUUAGCGCAAGCGAAGCUCUUGAUCGAAGCCCCGGUAAACGGCGGCCGUAACUAUAACGGUCCUAAGGUAGCGAAAUUCCUUGUCGGGUAAGUUCCGACCUGCACGAAUGGCGUAAUGAUGGCCAGGCUGUCUCCACCCGAGACUCAGUGAAAUUGAACUCGCUGUGAAGAUGCAGUGUACCCGCGGCAAGACGGAAAGACCCCGUGAACCUUUACUAUAGCUUGACACUGAACAUUGAGCCUUGAUGUGUAGGAUAGGUGGGAGGCUUUGAAGUGUGGACGCCAGUCUGCAUGGAGCCGACCUUGAAAUACCACCCUUUAAUGUUUGAUGUUCUAACGUUGGCCCGUUAUCCGGGUUGCGGACAGUGUCUGGUGGGUAGUUUGACUGGGGCGGUCUCCUCCUAAAGAGUAACGGAGGAGCACGAAGGUUGGCUAAUCCUGGUCGGACAUCAGGAGGUUAGUGCAAUGGCAUAAGCCAGCUUGACUGCGAGCGUGACGGCGCGAGCAGGUGCGAAAGCAGGUCAUAGUGAUCCGGUGGUUCUGAAUGGAAGGGCCAUCGCUCAACGGAUAAAAGGUACUCCGGGGAUAACAGGCUGAUACCGCCCAAGAGUUCAUAUCGACGGCGGUGUUUGGCACCUCGAUGUCGGCUCAUCACAUCCUGGGGCUGAAGUAGGUCCCAAGGGUAUGGCUGUUCGCCAUUUAAAGUGGUACGCGAGCUGGGUUUAGAACGUCGUGAGACAGUUCGGUCCCUAUCUGCCGUGGGCGCUGGAGAACUGAGGGGGGCUGCUCCUAGUACGAGAGGACCGGAGUGGACGCAUCACUGGUGUUCGGGUUGUCAUGCCAAUGGCACUGCCCGGUAGCUAAAUGCGGAAGAGAUAAGUGCUGAAAGCAUCUAAGCACGAAACUUGCCCCGAGAUGAGUUCUCCCUGACUCCCUGAGAGUCCUGAAGGAACGUUGAAGACGACGACGUUGAUAGGCCGGGUGUGUAAGCGCAGCGAUGCGUUGAGCUAACCGGUACUAAUGAACCGUGAGGCUUAACCUUACAACGCCGAAG